rnacentral:lncRNA from 1 species
UUAUCAAUGAAAUUCAUAGGUUUCUUUCCAUGAGUUUGCAAAUACAGAAACUAUAGAAAGGGACAUCAGUAUACUUAAGAAGUCUCAUGAUACUUUUUAGAGUUUUUCUCAAGAAAAUACAAUCGUGUGGAACUUAACAUAAGCGGGCUAGCUAAAGAUCAUACCACAUUCUCUGUAGUCUUAGAGUUCCUUCAGUAUUAAUUCUCUCUGGUCCUCAAAGACUUCUGUAUUAUGCAAAGGCUUUGACAGACUGAGUACACUCUCAAAAUUUUACUAUUAAAAGAGACCAUGAAGUGUUGACAUUUACCACGGUAAGUAUAUUUAUAGAUUUUCUUUUAAUUUUUUUUUUUAAUUUUUUUUUAAAGAUUUUUAUUUAUUAUUAUAUGUAAGUACACUGUAGCUGUCUUCAGACACUCCAGAAGAGGGCAUCAGAUCUUGUUACAGAUGGUUGUGAGCCACCAUGUGGUUGCUGGGAUUUGAACUCUGGACCUUUGGAAAAGCAGUCGGGUGCUCUUACCCACUGAGCCAUCUCACCAGCCCUUAAUUUUUUAUUAAGAGACAUCUCUGUGUUUUUGUGAUAGGAUAUACAUACUGGUUUCCCAGAAGAUUUAACCAUUAGAUCUUCUUUUAGAAGGAAUUAUGAGAAGUUGGCAAAAACUUCAUUUGUUCUGGAAAUGAACUUUUCUGUAUGGCUUGUCUAUGUCUAUAGCACUGUAAAUAUUUUCAAGUCUUUUUAUAUCAUCUUAAUGUCAGGAAAUAGGAAAAGGUUUUACCAAGAGAAAAAUCCUAUCCAUGUAAAUGACUGGGUAAAGACUGUAGACAUCAGAGUUGUCUUCAAUUUCAAGAGCAUAACAUCUUGUUUCAAAAAACAAUCUUGCUUCAUCUCUUCUGCAUCACAGCCUUGAAGGAAGUAAAUUAUUUACCACAUUCACUCAAGUACUUUUGGGGAGAUCACCAAUGUGGUUGUUGAAACAUUGGUAGUAGAUAUUAACAUUUGCUCUGUGUGUGACAAAUCCAUUCAGAGAGAUUGUUUGGCUGUUCCCGUCUUCCUUCUCUGGCUCCUGUUGAUCUUGGAAUAUGCUUUCACCUGGUGAUAGGUAGCUUUCUGCAGCGAUGUAUAGAAAGGGAUUCCUAUCAUCUAAGUGCAUCACUGUUUAUACAAAUAUCAGGCUGUGCUUGAUCACGCUUUUCAAGGAAGGCUGCUUGUUGGGAGCAGUUUUGCCUUGUAUUAUUAUUCAUAUUUCCACAAAUUACUUUGAAAUGUUGUUUUGAGAAAUUAUAUCUACUCCAUCUUGGGACUGUCCUCCAUC